rnacentral:rRNA from 1 species
GAUGAACGCUGGCGGCGUGCCUAACACAUGCAAGUCGAACGAAGCACUUAUGACAGAUUCUUCGGAUGAAGUCAUAUUUGACUGAGUGGCGGACGGGUGAGUAACGCGUGGGUAACCUGCCUCAUACAGGGGGAUAACAGUUAGAAAUGACUGCUAAUACCGCAUAAGCGCACAGUACCGCAUGGUACGGUGUGAAAAACUCCGGUGGUAUGAGAUGGACCCGCGUCUGAUUAGCUAGUUGGUGGGUAACGGCCUACCAAGGCGACGAUCAGUAGCCGACCUGAGAGGGUGACCGGCCACAUUGGGACUGAGACA